CCUACGUGAGGCUGCAGUGAGGAAUAUUGGUCAAUGGACGCAAGUCUGAACCAGCCAUGCCGCGUGCAGGAAGACGGCUCUAUGAGUUGUACACUGCUUUUGUACGAGGGUAAAUCCCGAUCCGUGUACCGGUUUGAAAGUAUCGUACGAAUACUGAUCGGCUAACUCCGUGCCAGAAGCCGCGGUAAUACGGAGGAUUCAAGCGUUAUCCGGAUGGACUGGUCUUAAAGAGUGCGUAGGUGGUUUGGCAAGUUGGUAGCGGAAUACUGGGGCUCAACCUCGGUUCUACUACCAAAACUGUUGAACUUGAGUGCAGGAGGGGUGAAUGGAAUUCCCAGUGUAGCGGUGGAAUGCGUAGAUAUUGGGAAGAACACCAGCGGCGAAGGCGAUUCACUGGACUGCAACUGACACUGAGGCACGAAAGCGUGGGGAGCAAACAGGAUUAGAUACCCUAGUAGUC
rnacentral:rRNA from 1 species